rnacentral:lncRNA from 1 species
AAAAGGAAUAUUUAUGUUUUAUGUGAAUAAUUAUUAAACUAAUAAUUUCUGUUAAAUCAUCCAGAUUAUGAGUAUUUGUGCUGACAGCUUGGGCAGACUAAUACACCAUUUCAGAAAGAAUUUAAAAUGAAAAUUAUCUUUCAACAAAUAAGAAAAUUGAACUACUUUUUGAUACUGAAAUAAAAGAACUCAGCAUGAAAGAUGUUGGGGAAAUUGAAUGCAUCAUUGCUAAAUUAUCAAAAAGAUAUCACCAUUUUUAGGAGAACAAUUCAUUCUACUGCGGCUUAAAACAGUGAGCCCUUAGUAAUGGAAUCUUCACAGCAAUAUGUAGAACACCAAGUGAGCCUGGUGGAGGGAGAAUACAGAUUCUGCUUUUCCGACUUUCUAAUAACAAAUGCGAAGAAAAUGCAACCCAAACAAAUGUUUGAAUUAUAAGAACUUUAUGGUAUGAAAAAAUUCAGUAAUCUGUCAGCAUAUGCCAGUUUUUGCUGAAAACCAAAAAUUAAAAUAAUAUCAAACCCAUGGCUUUUCUCUUUUUUUUUGCUACUGGGGAUCGAACUUGGGUCUUUGCACUUGUGCAGCAGGCAGCGAAACCACUGAGCUAAAUCCCUGGC